CUGUCACAUUAAGCCAACAAGUUUGUGGUAAUUCAGUGUAGCAGCCCUAGAAAAUGAAUACAAAUGGGCAGUUAUUACUAUUUACCAUCAUAGAGCUGGGUCUACUGUAAGUAGGAUACAUUUUAUUACAUUUUUAUUACUACUGAGUUGUGGGACAAUGGUAACCUUGAGUCAAUUCUUUCUUUUAGGAGGUGUAUGAUUUAAGCACAUUCUCUUCUACCUUGAAGGACCCAGAGAUAAUUGCUUCCCAUUUAGUGAAAGGGAAAGGCUGGAGGAAAGUUAUAGAAUUCCCAAAGGUCUCUGUAGGAAUCACUCUGGCUGGAAGAGUGUGGCCUAUGUGCCCUUCCCCAGGACAACUAAAGAGUCUUCUCGUUUUGAGUUUAAAGGGAACUGACAGUUGGAGAAAGGUCAUUCACAAAUGUUCAUUCGUGCAGUUUCGAUGCCAAAAAGCCCUCAGACUUCAACAAAGCACACAACUAUCAAACAGUCACCUUUAUUUUUAGAGCGAGUGAGGCAAUGGCUUUCACUAAGCAACUGGAGGGGAGAAAC
rnacentral:lncRNA from 1 species